rnacentral:rRNA from 1 species
UCCUACGGGGGGCUGCAGUAAGGAAUAUUGGGCAAUGGAGGCAACUCUGACCCAGCCAUGCCGCGUGCAGGAAGACGGCCCUACGGGUUGUAAACUGCUUUUAAUAGGGAGUAAGGUUAGUUACGUGUAACUAAUUGCAAGUACCUAUAGAAUAAGGAUCGGCUAACUCCGUGCCAGCAGCCGCGGUAAUACGGAGGAUCCAAGCGUUAUCCGGAUUUAUUGGGUUUAAAGGGUGCGCAGGCGGACUAAUAAGUCAGUGGUGAAAUCUACAUGCUUAACAUGUAUCGUGCCAUUGAUACUGUUGGACUAGUAUGCAAAUGACGUAGCUGGAAUGUGUUAUGUAGCGGUGAAAUGCUUAGAUAUAACACAGAACACCAAUCGUGAAGACAGGUUACGAAUUUGUAAUAGACGCUCAGGCACGAAAGCGUGGGGAUCAAACAGGAUUAGAUACCCGAGUAGUCA